rnacentral:rRNA from 1 species
GAUGAACGCUGGCGGCGUGCUUAACACAUGCAAGUCGAGCGAAGCACUCUGGAAGAUUCCUUCGGGAUGAUUCCUCUGUGACUUAGCGGCGGACGGGUGAGUAACGCGUGGGCAACCUGCCUUGUACAGGGGGAUAACAGUUAGAAAUGACUGCUAAUACCGCAUAAGCGCACAGCAUGGCAUCAUGCAGUGUGAAAAACUCCGGUGGUACAAGAUGGGCCCGCGUUGGAUUAGCUAGUUGGUGGGGUAACGGCCCACCAAGGCGACGAUCCAUAGCCGGACUGAGAGGUCGAACGGCCACUAUUGGGACUGAGACACGGCCCAGACUCCUACGGGAGGCAGCUAGUGGGGAAUAUUGCACAAUGGAGGAAACUACUGAUGCAGCGACGCCGCGUGAGUGAUGAAGUAUUUCGGUAUGUAAAGCUCUAUCAGCAG